rnacentral:rRNA from 1 species
GAUUAUGGCUCAGGAUUAACGCUGGCGGCGUGCCUAAUACAUGCAAGUCGAAUGGUAGCAAUACCAUGGCGAACGGGUGAGUAACACGUAGGUAACCUGUCUUUAAGCCGAGGAUAACCAUUGGAAACGAUGGAUAAUACUGGAUAGGACAUUUGAAGGCAUCUUAGAUGUUUAAAGAUUUAUUACUUAGAGAGGGGCCUGCGGCGCAUUAGCUAGUUGGUGAGGUGAAGGCUUACCAAGGCGAUGAUGCGUAGCCGGACUGAGAGGUUGAACGGCCACAAUGGAACUGAGAACGGUCCAUACUCCUACGGGAGGCAGCAGUAGGGAAUUUUCGGCAAUGGGCGGAAGCCCUGACCGAGCAACGCCGCGUGAACGAAGAAGUAUUUCGGUAUGUAAAGUUCUUUUAUUAGGGACGAAAAGACAGAUUGACGGUACCUAAUGAAUAAGCUCCGGCUAACUACGUGCCAGCCGCGGC